rnacentral:rRNA from 1 species
UACGUAGGGGGCAAGCGUUGUCCGGAAUCAUUGGGCGUAAAGCGCGCGUAGGCGGCCCGGUAAGUCCGCUGUAAAAGUCCAGGGCUCAACCCUGGAAAGCCGGUGGAUACUGUCGGGCUAGAGUCCGGAAGAGGCGAGUGGAAUUCCUGGUGUAGCGGUGGAAUGCGCAGAUAUCAGGAGGAACACCAAUAGCGAAGGCAGCUCGCUGGGACGUUACUGACACUGAGGCGCGAAAGCGUGGGGAGCGAACAGG